rnacentral:rRNA from 1 species
GCCCAUCGCAUCCUGGGGCUGGAGCAGGUCCCAAGGGUUCGGCUGUUCGCCGAUUAAAGCGGUACGCGAGCUGGGUUUAAAACGUCGUGAGACAGUUUGGUCCCUAUCUGCCAUGGGCGAAGGAUACUUGAGAGGAGCUGACCAUAGUACGAGAGGACCUGGUUGGACGUGCCCCUUGUGAGCCAGUUGUCACGCCAGUGGCAUAGCUGGGUAGCAACGCACGGAACGGAUAACCGCUGAAAGCAUCUAAGCGGGAAGCCGGCCUCAAGACAAGGUAUCCCAGAGCGUAUGCUCUCUAAAGACCCGUUGUAGACUACAACGUUGAUAGGCCAGGUGUGGAAGUGCUUAAAGCACGGAGCUGACUGGUACUAAUCGGUCGUGAGGCUUGGUCAU